rnacentral:rRNA from 1 species
CACCGCGGAUAGACGGCCUAGGCUCAAAUUGACAGCUUUCGGCAUAAAGCGUGGUUAAUAAAACUAAAACUAAAGUAGAACCUCUUCCACACUGUUAUACGUUUAUGAAUGAGAGAAACCCAACAACGAAAGUGACUUUAAGACUUAUGAACCCACGAAAGCUAUGAAA